GGACUGUCGCGAUAGGAAAGUACGUCGGUUUCUCAUCGAUGCCACUAGAGAAACAGACCAGUCAUUCGCCGCUGUAGUCUUCAACUUAGACUGUCGCCAUGCCCAGGUGAUAUUCAGAAGGAACUUUCACCAACCUCAGGUUUCAGACAGGUCGGUCUCCUGGUGAGACUGGCUUCUUGAAGACCAUGAUCUUUUGAUGAGAUCGGCUUUUAUCGAGGUAGGCCUCCAGUUG
rnacentral:lncRNA from 1 species